rnacentral:rRNA from 1 species
AGUGGCAGACGGCUGAGUAACACGUGGGAAUUUUCCUCAAAGUCGAGCAUAGUUCACCGAAAGGUGGAGUAAUUCUCGAUGGUCCCUUCGGGGUAAAGCUUUUGCGCUUUGAGAUGAGCCCGCGGCCUAUCAGGUAGUUGGUGGGGUAAUAGCCUACCAAGCCUAUGACGGGUAGCUGGUCUGAGAGGAUGAUCAGUCAGACUGGGACUGCGACACGGCCCAGACUCCUACGGGAGGCAGCAACUAGGAAUCGUGCGCAAUGGGGGCAACCCUGACGCCGCGACGUCGCGUGGAGGAUGAAGGUCUUAGGAUCGUAAACUCCUUUUAUCUAGGAACAAGUUCUGAGUGUACUAGAUGAAUAAGUGCCUGCUAACCACGUGCCAGAAGCAUCGGUAAUACGUGGGACACAAGCGUUAUCCGGAUUUACUGGGCGUAAAGAGAUGCGUAGGCGUCUUAAUAAGUUUCGUGUUAAAUCUUUCCGCUUAACGGAAAAAGCGCAUGGAAAACUAUUAGGAUAGAGUGAGGUAGAGAAAGGGAGAAUUCCUGGUGGAGCGGUUAAAUGCAUUGAUAUCAGGAGGAACACCGAAAGCGAAGGCACCCUUUUGGACCUUUACUGACGCUAAGGCUCGAAAGCGGGGGGAGCAAAACGGAUUAGAUACCCGUGUAGUCCACGCUGUAAACUAUCCCUGUUAGACUUCUGGA